rnacentral:tRNA from 1 species
GGCCUGCUAGCUCAGUCGGUUACAGCAUCGUGCUAAUAACGCGAAGGUCACAUGUUCGAUCCCUGUGAAGGCCA